rnacentral:rRNA from 1 species
CUGAUGCGUUGUUGGGUAGGGGAGCGUUCUGUAAGCCUGCGAAGGUGGCCUGUGAGGGUUGCUGGAGGUAUCAGAAGUGCGAAUGCUGACAUAAGUAACGAUAAAGCGGGUGAAAAGCCCGCUCGCCGGAAGACCAAGGGUUCCUGUCCAACGUUAAUCGGGGCAGGGUGAGUCGACCCCUAAGGCGAGGCCGAAAGGCGUAGUCGAUGGGAAACGGGUUAAUAUUCCCGUACUUGGUGUUACUGCGAAGGGGGGACGGAGAAGGCUAUGUUGGCCGGGCGACGGUUGUCCCGGUUUAAGCGUGUAGGCUGGUUUUCCAGGCAAAUCCGGAAAAUCAAGGCUGAGGCGUGACGACGAGGCACUACGGUGCUGAAGCAACAAAUGCCCUGCUUCCAGGAAAAGCCUCUAAGCAUCAGGUAACACGAAAUCGUACCCCAAACCGACACAGGUGGUCAGGUAGAGAAUACCAAGGCGCUUGAGAGAACUCGGGUGAAGGAACUAGGCAAAAUGGUGCCGUAACUUCGGGAGAAGGCACGCUGACAUGUAGGUGAAGUGAUUUACUCAUGGAGCUGAAGUCAGUCGAAGAUACCAGCUGGCUGCAACUGUUUAUUAAAAACACAGCACUGUGCAAACACGAAAGUGGACGUAUACGGUGUGACGCCUGCCCGGUGCCGGAAGGUUAAUUGAUGGGGUCAGCGCAAGCGAAGCUCCUGAUCGAAGCCCCGGUAAACGGCGGCCGUAACUAUAACGGUCCUAAGGUAGCGAAAUUCCUUGUCGGGUAAGUUCCGACCUGCACGAAUGGCGUAAUGAUGGCCAGGCUGUCUCCACCCGAGACUCAGUGAAAUUGAACUCGCUGUGAAGAUGCAGUGUACCCGCGGCAAGACGGAAAGACCCCGUGAACCUUUACUAUAGCUUGACACUGAACAUUGAGCCUUGAUGUGUAGGAUAGGUGGGAGGCUUUGAAGUGUGGACGCCAGUCUGCAUGGAGCCGACCUUGAAAUACCACCCUUUAAUGUUUGAUGUUCUAACGUGGACCCGUGAUCCGGGUUGCGGACAGUGUCUGGUGGGUAGUUUGACUGGGGCGGUCUCCUCCUAAAGAGUAACGGAGGAGCACGAAGGUUGGCUAAUCCUGGUCGGACAUCAGGAGGUUAGUGCAAUGGCAUAAGCCAGCUUGACUGCGAGCGUGACGGCGCGAGCAGGUGCGAAAGCAGGUCAUAGUGAUCCGGUGGUUCUGAAUGGAAGGGCCAUCGCUCAACGGAUAAAAGGUACUCCGGGGAUAACAGGCUGAUACCGCCCAAGAGUUCAUAUCGACGGCGGUGUUUGGCACCUCGAUGUCGGCUCAUCACAUCCUGGGGCUGAAGUAGGUCCCAAGGGUAUGGCUGUUCGCCAUUUAAAGUGGUACGCGAGCUGGGUUUAGAACGUCGUGAGACAGUUCGGUCCCUAUCUGCCGUGGGCGCUGGAGAACUGAGGGGGGCUGCUCCUAGUACGAGAGGACCGGAGUGGACGCAUCACUGGUGUUCGGGUUGUCAUGCCAAUGGCACUGCCCGGUAGCUAAAUGCGGAAGAGAUAAGUGCUGAAAGCAUCUAAGCACGAAACUUGCCCCGAGAUGAGUUCUCCCUGAGACUUUAGGUCUCCUGAAGGAACGUUGAAGACGACGACGUUGAUAGGCCGGGUGUGUAAGCGCAGCGAUGCGUUGAGCUAACCGGUACUAAUGAACCGUGAGGCUUAACCUU